rnacentral:misc_RNA from 1 species
CGCUGGAAAACCUCCUGGUGAAUCAAUCUUAUUUGUUUUGGCCUUCCUCUGAUUAACAACAGCAUUACGAGCAUCAAGCUGUUGUGGGCUGUCAAUAUGCGGUUCUGAGGGAAAGGACGAAUCACCCCUNNNNNNNAGCAGCCUUUUUUCCAUCCUUUUGAUUCACCCCUCUUUCUUGGGAUUGAGAGUUGGCAGACCUAGUGUCCAAACUAGAAGGGCUUUCAUGAUCAAAAGACUGAC